rnacentral:rRNA from 2 species
CGAAUGGGGAAACCCAGUGUGAUUCGUCACACUAUCAUUAACUGAAUCCAUAGGUUAAUGAGGCGAACCGGGGGAACUGAAACAUCUAAGUACCCCGAGGAAAAGAAAUCAACCGAGAUUCCCCCAGUAGCGGCGAGCGAACGGGGAGGAGCCCAGAGCCUGAAUCAGCAUGUGUGUUAGUGGAAGCGUCUGGAAAGGCGCGCGAUACAGGGUGACAGCCCCGUACACAAAAGCGCAUAUGCUGUGAGCUCGAUGAGUAGGGCGGGACACGUGGUAUCCUGUCUGAAUAUGGGGGGACCAUCCUCCAAGGCUAAAUACUCCUGACUGACCGAUAGUGAACCAGUACCGUGAGGGAAAGGCGAAAAGAACCCCGGCGAGGGGAGUGAAAAAGAACCUGAAACCGUGUACGUACAAGCAGUGGGAGCCCCACCACUAAGCCAGUGGUGAACUCCACAUACGCAUCCUUUGCUGAGGAGACGGUUAACGGAGCGAAAGCGACGUUCAACCUCAAAAGAAGCAGAGGGGGCUUAGUGGUGGGGUGACUGCGUACCUUUUGUAUAAUGGGUCAGCGACUUAUAUUCUGUAGCAAGGUUAACUGUAUAGGGGAGCCGGAGGGAAACCGAGUCUUAACCGGGCGUUAAGUUGCAGGGUAUAGACCCGAAACCCGGUGAUCUAGCCAUGGGCAGGUUGAAGGUUGGGUAACACUAACUGGAGGACCGAACCGACUAAUGUUGAAAAAUUAGCGGAUGACCUGUGGCUGGGGGUGAAAGGCCAAUCAAACCGGGAGAUAGCUGGUUCUCCCCGAAAGCUAUUUAGGUAGCGCCUCGUGAAUUCAUCUCCGGGGGUAGAGCACUGUUUCGGCUAGGGGGCCAUCCCGGCUUACCAACCCGAUGCAAACUGCGAAUACCGGAGAAUGUUAUCACGGGAGACACACGGCGGGUGCUAAUGUCCGUCGUGAAGAGGGAAACAACCCAGACCGCCAGCUAAGGUCCCAAAGUCAUGGUUAAGUGGGAAACGAUGUGGGAAGGCCCAGACAGCCAGGAUGUUGGCUUAGAAGCAGCCAUCAUUUAAAGAAAGCGUAAUAGCUCACUGGUCGAGUCGGCCUGCGCGGAA